UCAUGGCCCUCUGAGUCCUAAUUGGAACUCUCUGUCCCAGCUGCUCCCUGGCCAGGCCCCCGAGACCUCAAUGAGGAAAGAUGCUCUUCCCUUCUCUGGCUGGCCUCACUGUUCUGAGGCCUGGCUAAUGGAGCCCGCUCUCCGCUCUGCACACAGAGGCAGGAAUGAGACCCGAAUCAGGCUGUCCACAACUGUCUCCCAGGCCACUGGACAUCAGAGGGCACAUGGUCGACUACCCUGGCGUCACCCAAAAGCCUGUGCACAGCCCAGCCCUCAGUGCAGGAAAGCCCCUGGAGUGGGCUCAGCUUCAGACUCUGAAUCAUACAUUCCACCCUGCCCGGCAGCUCCGUCACUGUCCCUUCCUCAAGCCACUUUGUAGAGAGAAUUCUGCUGCAGGAAGGCAUGUGUUUGCAAACUGCUUAAAGAUGAGACCUAGCACGCUUCUCUCUCCGAACAUAAAAUGGGAAGAGGAGUUUUGCUUUUACAAAAUCAAACAUGCCACUCACAACUGAACCCAGGGGGGAAAAAAAGUAUUUGCUUGUAAGCAGAAUGAGGAAAUGAGGCUGAGGCUAGCCCACGUUCAGAGAGGGCUUUUGGGACCAGCCUCUUCCUGCCCACAAAGAGUUAAAAAGCCUAAAUGAAAUUACAUUUUAGUUGGGUGGGGUGACUCACACCUGUGAUCCCACCACUGUGGAGCUGUGGAGGCAGGAGGAUUGCUACAAGUUCAGAGCCAACCUAGGUUACAUAGCAAAUGGAAGCCAACCUGGGCUAUAGUGGAAGACCUGGUCUCAAAAACAAACAGCAACAGAACAAAAGACCAUAAUUACUGGAUACUUCCUAGCCUUAUGAUAUUAUAAGAUGGUUUACUCUCUCCAUGCCUUUGCACGUGUAAAAUAGGAGUAAACACGCUGUUUGUUUAUCUGCUUUUAGAGUUUUGUAAGGUUUAAGGAAGCCCAUCCCCAGAAGGUGUUAUGCUGUGCAGGCAAUUCAACUGGGGCCUGCCCUUAGGGAUCUUCAGGGUCCAGGCAACGUCCUGUGUCAGUACCUGCAUCCUGUGAUGUCAUCUGGGCCGGGUACAUAGUGACCUGUCUGCCACUCCCCGAACUUUCUUACUCUCUUGCUUUUGAUCUCUCCCCCUCUCCUGCUCUCUCCCCUUUCUCUGUUGGGGCACCCCCUCCAAUAAACCUCAUUGGAUUUAA